rnacentral:rRNA from 1 species
GAUAAACGCUGGCGGCGUGCAUAACACAUUCAAGUCGAACGGACAAGGGACUUCGGUCCUGCGUUAGUGGCGGACGGGUGAGUAACGCGUGAGUAACCUGCCUCAGAGUGGGGAAUAACGUCUGGAAACGGACGCUAAUACCGCAUAACACACAGACUUCGCAUGGAGAUUGUGUCAAAGAUUUAUGCUCUGAGAUGGACUCGCGUCCGAUUAGGUAGUUGGUGAGGUAACGGCCACCAAGCCGACGAUCGGUAGCCGGACUGAGAGGUUGAACGGCCACAUUGGAACUGAGAUACGGUCCAGACUCCUACGGGA